AUGAAUCAACAAACGUCACCCUGGGCAAUAAUACACACCAAACCAAAUCAAACCCAAUAAUUCCCAAACCAGACGAUCCCCAAGGAGCUAGAGAAGAAAUCCAAGAUAGAAGAAAUAUUCAGAGAAUGCCCAUAUUUAGUGUGGUGGUGAAUGUGAUGCUGCGAAAGAGCCUCACCGUUUUCUGGGAAACUGCACGCUUGCUUGCCGACUUGGCUUCAGUUCUCACGUCCACCAUCCGCUUCUCUGCCAUCUUUCUCCGGCGAUCUACCCCUCUUUCCGCCCGGCCCUUCUCUCCCAUGUCCUCCAUGCUCGGGACUCGACCUGAUCGGUAGUUCUUCGUCAAAUUCACUAUGCAUGCCGUAAUUUUCCGGAGGAGUCCUAGGAUAUAAGCACUCAGGAGAAGAUUGAAGUUGUUGGUAAAAAGAAAGAAGAAGGAAAUGCAUUGUUCAAGACUGAUAAAUAUCUUAGAACUUCAAAGAGAUAUGAAAAGGGUUUGCGGCUGUUACAACAUCAGCACGAUGUCAUGCACCACAGUCAAAUGCAGCUUUUGAUUAUUUUUUUAAUAUUUUUUUUAUCUGAACAGAUAUAAUUUCUUUAUUUGAAUUUGAAUUUUCAUAAUGUAUCUGUAUUUGAAUUUGAAUUUGAAUUUUGAAUUUUUUUUGUUAUCUAAACAUAUGGAAUUUUUGUAUUCUAAUUGAAUUUCAAUAAUAUAUUUGUAUUUGAAUUUCAAA